rnacentral:rRNA from 1 species
UACAGAGGGGGCAAGCGUUGUUCGGAAUUAUUGGGCGUAAAGGGCGCGUAGGCGGCCGGAUAAGUCUGACGUGAAAUCCCUCGGCCUAACCGGGGAACUGCGUUUGAUACUGUCCAGCUCGAGUCCGGGAGAGGGUAGUGGAAUUCCCAGUGUAGCGGUGAAAUGCGUAGAUAUUGGGAGGAACACCAGUGGCGAAGGCGAGUCCCUGGACAACACCUGACACUGAGGCACGAAAGCCGGGGGAGCAAACAGG